rnacentral:rRNA from 1 species
UACGGAGGGUGCAAGCGUUAUCCGGAUUUACUGGGUUUAAAGGGUGUGUAGGCGGGUCUUUAAGUCAGUGGUGAAAUCUCCGAGCUCAACUUGGAAACCUGCCAUUGAUACUAUUGAUCUUGAAUUUGUUGAGGUAGGCGGAAUAAGUCAUGUAGCGGUGAAAUGCAUAGAUAUGACUUAGAACACCAAUUGCGAAGGCAGCUUGCUAAACAAAUAUUGACGCUGGAGGCACGAAAGCGUGGGGAUCAAACAGG